CGCAGACGCAUAAACAACCUCUGCAUGUAUUGUGCUUCAAAUGCACAUACUGUAAGAGAGUGUCCUAUCUUACAAAGGCAGAAGAAACUGGGAUCUACACCAGCAAAUCAGUGAAGCCAUCAUCGACUCUGGGGCACAUUCUUCCUAUAUUGAUUCUGUUUUUGUCACUAUAAAUAAAAUACCCACUGUGUUGAAAGCAA